AAGGAGGCUGCAGAAGGAGGGAGAGAGAAAGAGAAAAGGAGCCUUAUGAAGUCCUUCCAGAUGUUGCUGGAGCCCUUUGAACAGGGACAGGAACCUCCGUGGGAAAGUCCAGUUGGGUCCUGACACCCAUGAAUUCAGCCCGAGGCCGCGGGGUUGAUCCACUCGCACAGUUCCCCUCCCCUGUCCCUCCACUGUCAGGUGUGGCCGAAGUCCUGCUCCUUCCCCGCAGGGAUGCUCACAGCAAAGUCAGCGGCACUUGAGGGGGACACCUCCCACGUACUUCCUGCGAGGAAGGACAUGAGUGGAAGUCCCAGUGGUGUUAAAAGUGCCAGCCCCAAGAUGGCUUUAGUCCUCAACUCUGAGCAGGGACAGGGACAGGGACAGGGACAGGCAGCACAUUGGGAGCCAGGAGCUUGUUGCAUGUGAGUGCAUGCAAGUGUGUGUCUGUGCAUGCAUGUGUGUGUGUGUGCAUAUGUGUGUUUGUGUAUGUGCGGGUGAGUGCGUGGGUGCAUUCAUGUGUAUGCAUAUGUAUGUGCACCUGUGCAUACAUUGUGUGUGUGUGUGCAUGCAUGUGUGAGUGUGUAUGGGGAGGCAUGUGUGAGCAUGUUGCAUGUUCGUUCCACGGGUGCAUGCAUUGCUAGCACCCAGUAUUUAGGUCUUUCCUAUAAAAGGUGAUUUCCGCUCUGCCGAAGAAGCGGGGCAGCCUACGCUGCUCCCCCAGGCCUGUGCAGUGUGACCCCAGGGAAGUCGUGUCUGGGGUUGGGGCCUGUGUGAUUCCUGGCAGGCUUUGUUGAGAGAGUCUGCUGAACAUGGGGAUUUUACCCCUGUCCCUGGAGAAGCUGAAGCUUGUGCUGGCCUGUGCCCAUUGCAGUCGUUGUACCCUGCAGAGCUGCUCUUGCUGCCCCUGUGCCAGGACCCAUUUCAAACCAGGCCUGUGCUGCCAGCCUGCUCCCGUGGCCUGGGGAGUGCUUGGAGGCAGUCAUAGAUGCAUAGACUCAUACAAAAUGAGGGCUGGAAGGGACCUCAGGAGUCUCUAGUCCAACUCCCUGCUAGCCCCAACUACAUAAUCCCAACAAGGGCUUUGUAGAGCUUAAACACCUCCAAGGAUGGAGUUUUGCAGUGGUGAUGCAUAGGGGGUGCAUGGGGGUGCAUGUGCACCCCCUGACAGCACUGGUGCACUCCCUGACAGCCAGUGCUCCUGGGCAGGGGGCGGGGCAGGUAAGAGCACUGGUGCUCCCCCUGAGAGCGCCAGCAGAGAUGGGGGGGCCAGGAGAAGCGGUCCCCCUAUGGCCAACUGCGCUCACCUGGAAGCCACUUGUGGGUCGGCGGGAUUGGCCAUGGGGGGAGCCCCUCCCUCCAGUCUGGGGGGUUGCUGACUGGGGCAAGUGCCCCCCUGACUCAGGAAGCACCAGUCAUCCAUGCAGCUUCUACCACCUCCAUAGGUAACCUGUUCCAGUGCUUCACAGUCAUCACCCUCCUCAUGAGAGUUUUUCCUCAUAUCCAACCUCAACUUCCCUUGCUGUGACUUGAGCCCAUUGCUCCUUGUCCUGUCAUCUGCCCCACUGAGACCGGUCCAGCUCCAUCCUCUUUGCAGCCCCCCUGCAGGGAGUUGAAGACUGCUAUUCAAUCCCCCUCAGUCUUCUUUUCUAUGUAGUAAUUGGUAACUUUCCUCUUCACACAGCUUUGCCCAUGUGUCUGUCACAUGGGUUUUAAAGUGCUUUCAACUCUCUAGGAAGCAUUUAUAACUGAGAUGUGCUGUUUGCUUCUGUUUAUUCAGGUGAGACCAAAACCUCUGUUGCUGAAGCUGCUGGAGUUUGCAGGGGCAAAACAGGAUAUUUUUACUCUGAAGGAGGUAAUAUUCUAUCGUGGCCAAUAUGUCUAAACAAUUGUAUGAUGAAACGAAGCAGUGCAUGUGAUCUUUUGGGGAUGUCUUUGGAGUACCAUGCUUUUCAAUAACAAUAUAGGUAACGUUUUGUGUUCCUUGUGAGUGAUCAGUACUGCUGUGAAAACGAUGUGAAGUGAAUUUACGGUGUGUUUUGCAAUGGGUUGCAUUUUUUAGUUGCAUGAAGCCAUAUGUAUAAGGCACACCACCUUGCCCAGGUUUCUCUCUGAAGCCCCGGCUUGUCCUAGGUUUAUUUCCAGAGCUGCCAUGCCUCACAAGCUCUACACGCUCCAGAAGUGCAGCAGUUUGCAGCCUGCGCUGUCUUCUGAAGGAAUUUCUCAACUCUGAGGAACAGCAACAUAACUUAGACAGCAUGCAAACACUAAACUGUCCGUGAAAAAUAAUCUGAACCGUGACUACAGUUCACCAAACUACCGGUUUAGUGAGGGGGUAUUAGUAGACAAAACCACAUCUUUCAAAAUACUUCCCAUCAGUUUUUUUUAAAGAAAUGUCAAAACAGAAACAUCUUGUUUUGGUGAGGAAAACUUGCCUUUUUCCAUUCAAAAAGUGUGGAAGGCAAGGAAGAUUAGAAGAAGUCAGGCUUGUUUUCACCUAGGAAGUAACUGAAGCAUUGGUGGUUCAAUGUUCAAAUUCCUGCUUGCUAUAUAGGAGAGCUAGGUUCAGUUCCCAGCUAAUACAGAUGCUACUUGGGAAUACUUUGUAUGUUAGCAGUCUGAGGUCAUCCUUGACAGGUAGUGGUUUUUCUGGGUAAGGCAUCUGGCUGGGGACACCUGACCCCAAGGCUCUUUCCUGCCUAUGUAGGGGGUCAGACUCGAUGAUCCGUUGAGGUUGCUUCCUGUGGCGGGCCAGUAGGGGGCGCUCCUGCAUUGAGCUGCCCACCUUCCUGCUCCCGCCCACCUUCCAGGCUCCAAGUGCCUCCCUGGGGUGCCUCCCAUCCGGCUGACCCCUUCCCUGGAGCACACCCGCUAGCCUGGGGUUCCCGCUGCCACCAUCCAAGGCUCUGGACUCACUUCUGGCUCUGCGCACCUUGGAGAACACAGGCCUGAUCGUCCAAUGGGUCCUAGACCCAAUACAGGCACUUGGGGAACUUUCCCAAGUCAGGGGCUCAUUAGGAAAGCCUCCCUUAGUCCACAGACCUAAUGGGCCUCCUCGGCAUAAUGUAGACCCACCCCUCAAUAAGUCUCCCAGACCGGUCACAAGGAGAACUUUAUUGAUGACAGGGGGUAAGUUUGAAACAGGGUAAAAGGUAGAGCUAUAUCAUAGGAAUAUCAGAGGGAUCCCAUAGAGCAAACCAGUAUGGCUGAGGAAGUCUUUUGAUCACGCAUCUGAGUUACUGUAAGCUAAAUAUCUAGUGGGAUCUCGAGUAGCUUACUCACUCGCAUCAUCCAGAGGUGGUUGGAGUUUCCUCUGGAGGCAGGGCACUCUCUGAGCAUGCGGUUAUGAGGAGAGAGCCCAUUUCAGAUGGUGAAGCUCCUCUCCCAGUUUCAGAUUCACCCGCAUGACCGCAUGGCUAGUGGCUCUCUUCUUCCUGGACCAUGCCUUUAAAUAACCUCUCUGACCUCAGCAGCCUGGUCCAAUCGAAGCUGCCAGUGCUGGCCACUAGCCAACCAAUUUGAAAAGCAUCACUGGUCACCUGGGCUGGUGGGCGGAGCUUUUCCCUCCCCCCUGCCCCCCCAAGUGACCAGAGCAUCCACCUCCCAGGCACCAGGCUCGUGUCAUGUAGACAGGGAGGAACAUCCCCACCCUGAGGGAUUCAACACCAGCCUCUCAUGCUGGCAGAGACAGAUCUCUGGAGAGGGGCGCGGACGGUGGCAUUUCUGACACACUUCCAACCCUGGCAUCUAUGAAACAGUCAGUUUCCAAACAUUAAAAAAAAAUUGAGUAAGAGAUCACUUUUCCAUCUCUCUCGUAUUUUUUCACAAAAUA